GGAAGUGGGGAUGACGUCAAAUCAGCACGGCCCUUACGUCCAGGGCUACACACGUGUUACAAUGGCCAGUACAGAGGGCAGCCACCCCGCGAGGGGGCGCUAAUCCUAAAAGCUGGUCCCAGUUCGGAUCGGAGUCUGCAACCCGACUCCGUGAAGCUGGAUUCGCUAGUAAUCGCGCAUCAGCCACGGCGCGGUGAAUACGUUCCCGGGCCUU
rnacentral:rRNA from 1 species